rnacentral:rRNA from 1 species
GUUAUCGCAAGAGAAGCGCCUGAUCGAAGCCCCAGUAAACGGCGGCCGUAACUAUAACGGUCCUAAGGUAGCGAAAUUCCUUGUCGGGUAAGUUCCGACCUGCACGAAUGGCAUAAUGAUGGCCAGGCUGUCUCCACCCGAGACUCAGUGAAAUUGAAAUCGCCGUGAAGAUGCGGUGUACCCGCGGCUAGACGGAAAGACCCCGUGAACCUUUACUAUAGCUUGACACUGAACCUUGAAUUUUGAUGUGUAGGAUAGGUGGGAGGCUUUGAAGCGGUAACGCCAGUUAUCGUGGAGCCAUCCUUGAAAUACCACCCUUUAACGUUUGAUGUUCUAACGAAGUGCCCGGAACGGGUACUCGGACAGUGUCUGGUGGGUAGUUUGACUGGGGCGGUCUCCUCCCAAAGAGUAACGGAGGAGCACGAAGGUUUGCUAAUGACGGUCGGACAUCGUCAGGUUAGUGCAAUGGUAUAAGCAAGCUUAACUGCGAGACGGACAAGUCGAGCAGGUGCGAAAGCAGGUCAUAGUGAUCCGGUGGUUCUGAAUGGAAGGGCCAUCGCUCAACGGAUAAAAGGUACUCCGGGGAUAACAGGCUGAUACCGCCCAAGAGUUCAUAUCGACGGCGGUGUUUGGCACCUCGAUGUCGGCUCAUCACAUCCUGGGGCUGAAGUAGGUCCCAAGGGUAUGGCUGUUCGCCAUUUAAAGUGGUACGCGAGCUGGGUUUAAAACGUCGUGAGACAGUUUGGUCCCUAUCUGCCGUGGGCGUUGGAGAAUUGAGAGGGGCUGCUCCUAGUACGAGAGGACCGGAGUGGACGCAUCACUGGUGUUCCGGUUGUGUCGCCAGACGCAUUGCCGGGUAGCUACAUGCGGAAGAGAUAAGUGCUGAAAGCAUCUAAGCACGAAACUUGCCUCGAGAUGAGUUCUCCCAGUAUUUAAUACUGUAAGGGUUGUUGGAGACGACGACGUAGAUAGGCCGGGUGUGUAAGCGUUGCGAGACGUUGAGCUAACCGGUACUAAUUGCCCGAGAGGCUUAGCCA